rnacentral:rRNA from 1 species
CUACGGGGUGCACCAGUGAGGAAUAUUGCACAAUGGGGGGAACCCUGAUGCAGCAACGCCGCGUGGAGGAUGACGCAUUUCGGUGUGUAAACUCCUUUUAUAUGUCAAGAAAAUGACGGUAGCAUAUGAAUAAGCACCGGCUAACUCCGUGCCAGCAGCCGCGGUAAUACGGAGGGUGCAAGCGUUACUCGGAAUCACUGGGCGUAAAGGACGCGUAGGCGGGCUUGUAAGUCAGGUGUGAAAUCCUACAGCUUAACUGUAGAACUGCACUUGAAACUACGAGCCUAGAGUAUGGGAGGGGGAGAUGGAAUUAGUGGUGUAGGGGUAAAAUCCGUAGAUAUCACUAGGAAUACCUAAAGCGAAGGCGAUCUCCUGGAACAUAACUGACGCUAAGGCGUGAAAGCGUGGGGAGCAAACAGGAUUAGAUACCCGCGUAGUC